UACGAGGGGUCCUAGCGUUGUUCGGAAUCAUUGGGCGUAAAGCGUCUGUAGGCGGCUUUGUAAGUCAGGUGUGAAAUCCCCAGGCUCAACCUGGGAACUGCGUCUGAUACUGGAUGGCUUGAAUCCGGGAGAGGGAUGCAGAAUUCCAGGUGUAGCGGUGAAAUGCGUAGAUAUCUGGAGGAAUACCGGUGGCGAAGGCGGCAUCCUGGGAUAACACUGACGCUCAUGCACGAAAGCGUGGGGAGCAAACAGG
rnacentral:rRNA from 1 species